rnacentral:rRNA from 1 species
AGUGAACGCUGGCGGUAGGCCUAACACAUGCAAGUCGAACGGCAGCACAGUAAGAGCUUGCUCUUACGGGUGGCGAGUGGCGGACGGGUGAGGAAUACAUCGGAAUCUACUUUUUCGUGGGGGAUAACGUAGGGAAACUUACGCUAAUACCGCAUACGACCUACGGGUGAAAGCAGGGGAUCUUCGGACCUUGCGCGAUUGAAUGAGCCGAUGUCGGAUUAGCUAGUUGGCGGGGUAAAGGCCCACCAAGGCGACGAUCCGUAGCUGGUCUGAGAGGAUGAUCAGCCACACUGGAACUGAGACACGAUCCAGACUCCUACGGGAGGCAGCAGUGGGGAAUAUUGGACAAUGGGCGCAAGCCUGAUCCAGCCAUACCGCGUGGGUGAAGAAGGCCUUCGGGUUGUAAAGCCCUUUUGUUGGGAAAGAAAAGCAGCAGGUUAAUACCCUGCUGUUCUGACGGUACCCAAAGAAUAAGCACCGGCUAACUUCGUG